CGGACUUCAUAGAAACAUUGGUUCGCUCGUGGUACUUUUUCAGCAUGUUAACAUGACACAGACGAGACGAACGUCUACGCUCGGGUGUUUUCACAAUGUAAUCUGUAUUACUGACCUUUUCCUUGAUUACGUAUGGACCAGAAUAACGGGCAGACAAUGAUGAACCCUGCACGGGCAACAGAACAAGAACGAGAUCUCCCUUCUGGAACUGACGGCUUUCAGACUUUGUAUCAUACUGUUGCUUCAUCCUUUUCUGUGCUCUGGACAGACUUUUCUGGGAUAACCUCCACGCUUCCUGCAUACGAGUACGCAUUUGUCCAACAUAAACACUAACCGUACGGGGUAACGUUUUAGGGAAUUCCGCGCACAGAACAUUUUCCUGUACAAGUGCUAAUGGACCUCGAGGUGUGCGACCGAACACCAACUCGGCCGGACUAUAGCCCAGUGACUCCUGCACUACCUCUCUAAUAGCAAAUAACACGUAAGGUACACCUUCAUCCCAGUCAUUCUCCUCACUAAAACAAUACUUUUUGAGCAUUGACUUAAGCGUUUGAUGCCAUCGUUCUAACGCACCUUGACUCUCCGGGUGGUAUGGACUAGAUACCCGGUGUCGAAUAGAAAAAGACUGUAAAACCUGUGCUAGGAGCUUGGACAUAAAAUUACUGCCCUGGUCCGUCUGUAUCUCCUUUGGAAGCCCGAAUGUCGUAAAAAACUUUAUUAAGGAUUUCGUAACGGUUCUGGCAGUGAUGUUCCGUAGAGGCACGCCCUCGGGAUACCGAGACGCACAGCACAUAAUUGUUAAAAGGUAUUGGUUACCAGUACGCGUUCGGGGUAGAGGACCCACACAAUCUAUAACCACUCGUUCAAAAGGUUCCCCCAUCACCGGAAUCGGCUGAAGAGGAGCACGGGGUAUUGUCUGAUUCGGUUUCCCAACAACCUGACAUACAUGACAGGUAUUACAGUAGUCCACUACAUCCUUUUUCAACCCAGGCCAAAAGAAGUACUGCAACACCCUAUGGUAGGUUUUAUUCACGCCCAAAUGUCCAGCCCAUUCAUGAUCGUGGGCGAUCGACAACACUUUAGGACGAAACUUAACAGGUAACACAAUCUGUGUCACAACCGCCCAGGCUGCAUCCGGAGCAUACGCGGACCAUUUACGCAUUAAUAUACCUUUUUCCAUGAAAAAACAUUUCUUCUUACCUGCAGCUUCUUUACUCGACACUACCUCUUCAAAACUCCUAGCAAGACUAUCAUCCACUUCCUGUGCUUUUCGCACCUUCUUAGUCGUCAUCUCAGACAGUACUUCGCUCAAGUCCGAUGUCUUCCUUUUUUCCUUAUCAUUUACAACAGGUACUUUCUUCAUUGUCGGCUCACUGCGUUUUUCAAUUAUUGAGUCAGCCAGGUUAAUCACGUCACCCAACCUCUUUCUUUCUGCACGGGUUACCACACAGGCUGGGAACACAACGACAUCUUCGGCAAUUUCCUUUUCGGUGCUUUGUGGGAACACGGGACUGUCUAUGACCUCCAGUACAGGCCUGACUGCACCUCCUGCAAUGUCAUUCCCUAAGAUGAGAGACACCCCAUCUAUCGGUAAACUAUUUACAACUCCCACUCGGAAAUAUCCGUUCGCAAAUUCGGAGUUUACAUACACUCUGUGUAACGGAACUGACAUGAUUCCCAUUUCGAUUCCACGUAACAGCACUUGGGAUCCUUCGGAAGUUUCCUCCGACCACGGUAAAACACUGGCUAAAAUCAGCGACUGUGCAGCCCCCGUGUCACGUAAGAUGUCAACUGUACAUUUCAUGCCGGGGUCGUUAGGCAACGACACCCAACCAACAGACACAAAAGGAGCGUAGCAGGGGUCAGGAGAUUCAUUCACUUGGUCCUUCUUCCUUACUGGAUCCACUAACCCUACCCCUGUAGGAUUUCUAGGCGGGGAGUAUUGUUUAUUCGGUCUGUUCUUUAGUUUAGGACAAUCCGCAGCUAUGUGUCCAAGUCGGUGACAAAAAUAACAUUCUCUAUUUCUAUGAAGCUGUGCAGGGUCCUCUGAUGGAACUGUUUGGUUUCUCUUAAAGUCUUGCCUCUCCUCCUGACGUCGAACAGAGAAAACUGUCUUGUGGGUGAGGGCAUAUUCAUCUGCUAAAACGGCCGCUUGGGCAACUGAUGACACUCUCUGUUCAUUUAAAUGAACCACAAUCUGAUCAGAUAACCGGCACUGUACUAACAAAGGCCACACAUCCUCUGGCCACUUCAGUGCAGCUGCCACUCUUUCAAAGGCGAGGAAGUAACUGUCAAUCUCAGCUUCACGGAACGGGGGUACCAUAGCGACGUGUUUACUGACGUCGAAAUGACUCGCGGUACUGCUGGGUGAGGUCAGCCUCUAAUCGUGAAACUUUCAUCCUCAUCCUAUAUAUCCCCUCCGGCUCGGCAGACGCCGGCGACAGCGGAGUAUAUUUGGGAAGCGUCUGAGGAAGAGGACUCCUCACUUCGCCUACCAACGUGGGCGACCGAGCAGAAACGGGAGCACCCGCUACGACUUCGUCCUCCUCAUCACUGUCAUUUUUUAAAGUGUAGACACCAGCAGCUGAGAGCAACAAUAAAUGUUCC
ensembl:lncRNA